AUAUAUUCAGAUUGAAUAUGAACUCCAAAUAGACAAGUGCCUUAUUUCUCAGAUCCUACAUUAUCAGUGUUCUGAACGUUGAUUGGUUGAAUUCGAAUUAACUCUAGUUAAGGUGCAGUGAACAAUUCUCCACAAUAACACCAUAAUUGGGAAGAAUUACCAACUGAUUUUGGGACUUUUUUCUGUUUCUUUUUGGAAGAUGUACAAAAAAUGUAACUACAUGACCAGGAAUGGGUGAAAUCAGAGGCAUUCAUAUUGAUUUGUCUCUAGGGCAAAUACGUCAGUUUUAUGUUUUAGCACCACAUAUUUGUAUAUAUAUCAAGAGGAAUAUUAUUAUGUAAUCCUCUUAAAUUAAGAGAUCUAGAUUGUGUAGCAACAAUAAAACUGUGACAAUUAAUUAAACAUAUAGAGGAUCAGUCAAACAACUAUCUUUCCAAUCAAAUUCGACAGGGAGCACAGUUUGAUCCUAAAAAAUAGUAGCACCAAGGAGAUAAUAUAAUUAUUUAUUGUAUGAAAAUAAAUAAAUUGGUCGAACCUCUUCUGAAGAAGUUUUAUUAUUGGUUGAAGCAUUCGCUUCUACUUUGCAUCGAUGCGCAACGAAGACAUCAGACUUGUAUUUGCUUUGGAAUUAUUCCAUGUAAAAUUGAGAGAAGGGGACUCGUUAGUGGAUUGUAAAUGCGUCCAAAUGGGGUCGUCAAAGCACGUUGAAACACUUUCUAACUCUUUAUUGACUCCCAAAUCGUCAGGGAGUUGUUCGAAAAUGGAGGUUAUCACAGAUAUAACUUUGGGUUCAAUCUACAUCAUAUAUAAAAAAGGAAUAUUAAAUACGAUAUGCGUCAAUAUAAAAUUAAUCUUGAAGAAAAGUCAACAAUAAAUGAAAAGUUCUUAAUUAAUUUUUUUACUUGAUAAUGAUGUAUAAACAUCCCAUUGUUUCAAUCAUGUUUAACUUAAAUUUGGGUUUUAUAUUUGAAUUUCCAGGAUGGGUUAAAAUAUGCAGGAAUCUUAGCUAUCAUUUUCCCUUAAUUUAUGACACGAAAAAGAAUUUAAUCAAUUCAAUUUAUAAUUUUAUAUUCAAAUAUAUUUAAUUGUGAUCAGAAUAAAUAUAAUUAGAAUUAGGAGAUAA
rnacentral:lncRNA from 1 species